rnacentral:rRNA from 1 species
GACGAACGCUGGCGGCGUGCUUAACACAUGCAAGUCGAACGGAAAGGCCCUGCUUUUGUGGGUUGCUCGAGUUGCGAACGGGUGAGUAACACGUGAGUAACCUGCCCUUGCCUUUGCGAUAACUUCAGGAAACUGGGGCUAAUACCGGACAGGAGCUCCUGCUGCUGGGUGGGGGUUGGACAGUUUCGGCGGUUGGGGAUGGACUCGCGGCUUAUCAGCUUGUUGGUGGGGUAGUGGGUUACCAAGGCUUUGACGGGUAGCCGGCCUGAGAGGGUGACCGGCUAGAUUGGGACUGAGAUACGGGCCAGACUCCGGCGAGAGGGAGCAGUGGGGAAUAUUGCACGGUGGGCGGAAGGCUGAUGCAACAACGCCGCGUGCGGGAUGACGGCCUUCGGGUAGUAAACCGCUUUCGCCUGUGACGAAGCGUGAGUGACGGUAGUGGGUAAAGAAGCACCGGCUAACUACGUG